rnacentral:rRNA from 1 species
GCAGUCGCCACGGUAAUACGAGGGGGGCAAGCGUUGUUCGGAAUUAUUGGGCGUAAAGGGUGCGUAGGCGGCUUGACAAGUCUUGUGUGAAAUCUAUGGGCUCAACCCAUAGUCUGCACGGGAAACUGUCGGGCUUGGGAAUGGGAGAGGUGAGUGGAAUUUCCGGUGUAGCGGUGAAAUGCGUAGAUAUCGGAAGGAACACCUGUGGCGAAAGCGGCUCACUGGACCAUUUCUGACGCUGAUGCACGAAAGCUAGGGGAGCAAACAGGAUUAGAUACCCCCGUAGUCCCUGUCUCUUAUAC